CAAUCACUCUGCUGUGUUAUUUUAAAGGAAGCACAAUACUAUCCCCAUGUCUGACUGGAAGACCUUGAAGGACAGAGGAAGGAAUUCUUCUUCUCUGCAAAGGCUACAAUGAAGUGUAUUUAAUUUUUAAAUUUAGAAGAGGCUGUUUUUAAUAGGAACCACCAGGAUGUUUACAGUAAGAGGUUUUCAGCUAAGACCUGAGGGGAGAAAAAGGAACAGAGGACGGACUUCGCUGCGGCUCAGAGUCUCCAGGCAGGAUUCUUGGGUCUCCCGGCUUGUAACUAACUCCUAUAGCUCCCUCCAGGACUUCCUUCAAUGUUUUACCACCAGGGCUUUGCCCUGGUUCCUGUUCCUUCCCUCUGAUAACCAUAUACAUCCCCUCCACCUCAAAUAUGUUAGCAAUCAGCCUUCAAACAUGUGGCCCCGCCGUUACACAUCGGGACUUCCGACUCAUGACUAAUGUUUGACUAGAUAGUACUAAAUAACCUUAUCUUGACAGCAGCCAGCCCCUCAGAGUUCUGGAAACCUCGCUUCCAAAUUCCUUAGAGACUUAAUGCUGUGCCCAACCCCCACUGACUAGAAAGUGCUUAAUCAGUUACUCUUCACAAUCCCAGGAUGGUCUUUCUGCCCACGGGUCCUUUUUGCAACAAAGAAGGCUAAAGAAUUAGUUCUUGGCUCUUCAGUCUCUGGCCCACAUCAGGGUUCGUUGACAAAAGGCAGAUCCACAGGAGGAAAACAAAAAGAAGUUUUAUGAAAAUGUUUAUGUUAUGCAAACACAGGAGAAACUCCCGGGAUGAGUAACUGAAAGUUUUGGUUAGAAUCUAGUGUUAGCACAGAAAGGUAUUUUUAGGGAAGAGACAAGAUAAAGGAACAGGACUGUGGGUCUCCAGGCCAGCAGAUUGUGUGGUAACACCUCAAAGAGAAACUAAUGGCAGAUGAAGGCUAGUUUCUACUCGGUUUGGUAUGUGGAUUUCUCUCGUGCCACCUCCAGGCUGAGAAGGGACUCAAAUUGUUCAUGGGGUUUCAUUUCUGUCCUUUUUGGUAGAGAGGGAAAGAGAGACACUUUUAUAAUUUUGUGUCUUGCUUCUAGACAAAUAGGAGAAAACCAGAGGGCAGGGGUUUUUUUGUUGGCUUUUUUGUGGGGAGGGGUCUGGUCAUUCUUAAUUGGCUUCAGUAUGAAAUAAUCCAUAUGCUGAAGUGGCGUAUUUUGAGGUGACCAAAUUUUGCUCCCCUUCACAGUUAAGGUUAUAUAGCUUGAAAAUUAGACAAAGACCUUUUUCUUUCAACGUUGUUCUUAAGAAAGAUCAAUGAGAAAUUACUAUUACUGCAUAUAUGAGAUUUAAUAUUUGUGAUUUUAAUUUUUUUAAUUAAAACAUUUUAAAGUGUAUUU